rnacentral:rRNA from 1 species
GAUGAACGCUGGCGGCGUGCCUAAUACAUGCAAGUCGAGCGAACAGACGAGGAGCUUGCUCCUCUGACUUUAUCGGCGGACGGGUGAGUAACACGUGGUUAACCUACCUAUAAGACUGGGAUAACUUCGGGAAACCGGGGCUAAUACCGGAUAAUAUAUUGAACCGCAUGGGUCAAUAGUGAGAGUCGGUUUUUCUGUCACUUAUAGCUGGAUCCGGGCCGGAUUAGCUAGUUGGUAAGGUAGUGGCUUACCAAGGCAGCGAUGCGUAACCGACCUCAAAGGGUGAUCGCCCAGCCGGUAACGGAGACAGAGCCCAGACUCCUGCGGUGAGCAGCAGUAGGGAAUCCUCCGCGAGGGAGGAGUGGCUGAUGGUGCAACGUGGGCGGAAUGAUGAUGGUCUUAGGACGGGAAAACUCUGUAAUUAGUGAAGAACUAAAGCUCAAUUACCUAUGAACGUCUUGACGGUACCUAAUCAGAAAGCUACGGCUAACUACGUG